rnacentral:rRNA from 1 species
AAAUUGAAGAGUUUGAUCAUGGCUCAGAUUGAACGCUGGCGGCAGGCCUAACACAUGCAAGUCGAACGGUAACAGAAAGCAGCUUGCUGCUUUGCUGACGAGUGGCGGACGGGUGAGUAAUGUCUGGGAAACUGCCUGAUGGAGGGGG